rnacentral:tRNA from 1 species
GCGGCUGUAGUUCAAUGGUAGAACAACGGCCUUCCAAGCCGUAUAUGGCGGUUCGAUUCCGCUCAGCCGCU